CAGUAGCCGCGGGAAUACGAAGGGGGCUAGCGUUGUCCGGAAUUAUUGGGCGUAAAGGGCUCGCAGGCGGUUUCUUAAGUCUGAUGUGAAAGCCCCCGGCUCAACCGGGGAGGGUCAUUGGAAACUGGGAAACUUGAGUGCAGAAGGGGAGAGUGGAAUUCCACGUGUAGCGGUGAAAUGCGUAGAGAUGUGGAGGAACACCAGUGGCGAAGGCGACUCUCUGGUCUGUAACUGACGCUGAGGAGCGAAAGCGUGGGGAGCGAACAGGAUUAGAUACCCGUGUAGUCCCUGUCUCUUAUAC
rnacentral:rRNA from 1 species